AGGAUAAUAGUUAAAAUAACAGUUAAUUUGCAUUUAAAAAAUAUUGAAAAUUCAAUUUAUCUUA
rnacentral:tRNA from 1 species